NGAUGUGAGGGCAUCUGGCUGCGACUUCUGUCACCCCAUUGAUCUCCAGGGUUGAUUCGGCUGAUCUGGCUGGCUAGAUGGGUGUCCCCUUCCUCCCUCACCGCUCCUUGUGUAUCCCUCCCAAAGCUGCACGUUCAAAGAGGACGGCCUUCCCCAGAGACAGACCAGUCUUCAGGUUAUAUGAGUAGCUGCGCUCCCCUGCUAGAAGCUCCAAACAAGCUCAUAUCUGUGACUCUAGAGUAAUUAUGACAUAAUUACUGCUAGAGUGGGGUGGUGACACAAAACUUUAAAUGUUGGGAAUGGUGUAGAAUUGUACCCCUAUU
ensembl:misc_RNA 7SK 7SK RNA